rnacentral:rRNA from 1 species
UACGUAGGCAGCGAGCGUUGUUCGGAAUUACUGGGCGUAAAGAGUGUGUAGGCGGUGCUCUAAGUUCGGUGUGAAAUCUCCCGCUUAACUGGGAGGGUGCGCCGGAAACUGGAGUGCUCGAGCGUGGGAGAGGAAGGCGGAAUUCCUGGUGUAGCGGUGAAAUGCGUAGAUAUCAGGAGGAACACCUGCGGUGUAGACGGCUUUCUGGACCAUUGCUGACGCCGAGACACGAAAGCGUGGGUAGCAAACAGG